rnacentral:rRNA from 1 species
CAGUCGCCGCGGUAAUACGUAGGUGGCAAGCGUUAUCCGGAAUUAUUGGGCGUAAAGCGCACGUAGGCGGUUUUUUAAGUCUGAUGUGAAAGCCCACGGCUCAACCGUGGAGGGUCAUUGGAAACUGGAAAACUUGAGUGCAGAAGAGGAAAGUGGAAUUCCAUGUGUAGCGGUGAAAUGCGCAGAGAUAUGGAGGAACACCAGUGGCGAAGGCGACUUUCUGGUCUGUAACUGACGCUGAUGUGCGAAAGCGUGGGGAUCAAACAGGAUUAGAUACCCCUGUAGUCCCUGUCUCUUAUAC